AAACUUGAGAGUUUGAUCCUGGCUCAGAACGAACGCUGGCGGCAGGCUUAACACAUGCAAGUCGAGCGCCCCGCAAGGGGAGCGGCAGACGGGUGAGUAACGCGUGGGAAUCUACCUAUCUCUACGGAACAACUCCGGGAAACUGGAGCUAAUACCGUAUACGCCCUUCGGGGGAAAGAUUUAUCGGAGAUAGAUGAGCCCGCGUUGGAUUAGCUAGUUGGUGGGGUAAAGGCCUACCAAGGCGACGAUCCAUAGCUGGUCUGAGAGGAUGAUCAGCCACACUGGGACUGAGACACGGCCCAGACUCCUACGGGAGGCAGCAGUAGGGAAUAUUGGACAAUGGGCGCAAGCCUGAUCCAGCCAUGCCGCGUGAGUGAUGAAGGCCCUAGGGUUGUAAAGCUCUUUCAACGGUGAAGAUAAUGACGGUAACCGUAGAAGAAGCCCCGGCUAACUUCGUGCCAGCAGCCGCGGUAAUACGAAGGGGGCUAGCGUUGUUCGG
rnacentral:rRNA from 1 species